UACGGAGGAUGCGAGCGUUAUCCGGAUUUAUUGGGUUUAAAGGGUGCGUAGGCUGUGAGGUAAGUCAGCGGUGAAAUGCCCCCGCUCAACGGGGUGAAGUGCCAUUGAUACUGCCUUGCUGGAAUGCGGAUGCCGUGGGAGGAAUGUGUGGUGUAGCGGUGAAAUGCAUAGAUAUCACACAGAACACCGAUUGCGAAGGCAUCUCACGAAUCCGCGAUUGACGCUGAUGCACGAAAGCGUGGGUAUCAAACAGG
rnacentral:rRNA from 1 species